AUGUGUUUACCUUUAAUACCGACAGCAAUCACCGAUUUCACAUCGAUGAACAAGCAAAUGUCAAGGCAUGACGAAAAAUGUUGGUUUUUUUGCAGUGUCAGAGGUCACCACCAAGCUGACUGCACACUUUUGUUGUUGGCUGGUAAUCCAGAAAAAGAAACGCUCCUUCAGGAGUUUGCCAGGAAAAUCCACCUCCCAUCCACAGAAAGAGGGGGGGAAAUGUGGCGAAGCAACAGGAACUGGGAAGCGCAGCAGCCUUGGAUGCCACCUUCAAUGCGAAGAAUAACGAAAAGAGUAGGAAGCAAUACCAUAAAGAGAUUGUCUUUAUGAUUAGCACACGUUAUGAUGUACUACGCACACUGAACUGUUCCAGUGUGCGUAGUAGCUGGAAGAGAAGGCCGUACAACAGCUGAUGAAGUUGGCUGCAGCAAGAAAAUCACAUCUCAGUUUCCAGGAUUUCAGAAAGAAGAGCUCCUCCGAUACUUGCAAAUCUCUGCAAAACGUUUCAGUGCUUGCUGCCCCCAGGUCUGGUCAGAUCUUGGUGAUUUCCUCCCGCGUGCACUGCAGGGCCCUGUUCUGCUCUUCAGGAUGGAUGCUACCCAGAACCGUGGCUGAUUCAGUGCGCUGAGGGAGGAUGCGGAGCUGAUCUUCAUAACUGGCCUGUGUAUUUUAGGUAACAUGUAACGUGUCACAUUUAUUCUAGGCUCACAACAACCUAGUUGUGAGAAAAAAUGUGGAACCAACAUAUGGCUUAAAACUGCCUGUAGCAGUGCAGGGCUAGAAGGAGGUAAUUCUGAGGUGCUACACCAUGCACAACAUUUGAAUUUCGAAUGUGAUCUGAGUGUGUCCCCUGCGUGUGACCUGACCAUAAUUAUUGAUCAGGGUCUUAAGUCGCUGCUUGGAUUCCUUGGGUCAGUUGAUUUUGUUUUGCUUGCCUAGGGGAAACGUUGUUUUUGCUUGGAGGGAAGGAAUAGCACUGACCACAGCGCUCCAACCUGCAGAUGUCUUUCUUGGAACAAAAAAGUGGGUUUCAAAGGUUCUGAUACCCCGG
rnacentral:lncRNA from 1 species